rnacentral:rRNA from 1 species
UAGUCAUAUGCUUGUCUCAAAGAUUAAGCCAUGCAUGUCUAAGUAUAAGCACAUUGUACUGCGAAACUGCGAAUGGCUCAUUAAAUCAGUUAUAAUUUAUUUGAUAGUACCUUACUACAUGGAUAACCGUGGUAAUUCUAGAGCUAAUACAUGCGACAAAUCCCGACUUCUGGAAGGGAUGUAUUUAUUAGAUAAAAAACCAAUGCGGGGCAACCCGCCUACUUGGUGAUUCAUAAUAACUUGGCGAAUCGUAUGGCUUUAUGCCGGCGAUGAUUCAU